UUAGCCCAAAGUACGUAGUUUUGGGUGGGUGAAAUUAAUGUACUGAGCGGUUAAUCCACAUUAACUCAAAAUAAGUUUAAAGUACCCACUACAUUGUCCGACAUUUUGUUUAAACUUUUGAGACGCGAGUGAAUUAUUUUGCGAAGGAAAAGUUGAUUUUUCUACGCGGUUCGUCGUCCUUCCUCGACUCCUUUGGCACAAGAUGACGGUAAAACAUCGGGAAAAAGAUUUGGCUUCCUCGGCCGGAGGAGUGCCUGAAUUUGCUGCCAGAAAAAAAAACACCAACAGGAGCUGUUACUGCAGAUUUCGCUGCUAUCAAUAUCAGAGUAUUCGGUAGAAAAACCAGAUUUUAGUCAUAUAAGCAGAUCCAUCAAAAACACCGAAAACCGUGCCGUCCGGGCAUUCCUGACGUGGAAUUGCUCAGGGUCAGGGGCAAAGAGGGACCGAGUCGAUUGGGAUACCAUCAUUAUGAAACAGAAAGAUAAGGAAUAUGACGGGAAUUGUGCAAAGUUAAGUGAAACAGUGAAAAUUGUA